ACGUAGGUGGCAAGCGUUGUCCGGAUUUAUUGGGUUUAAAGGGUGCGUAGGCGGUUUUGUAAGUCAGUGGUGAAAUAUAGCAGCUUAACUGUUAGGGUGCCAUUGAUACUGCAGAACUUGAGUACAGAUGAGGUAGGCGGAAUUGACGGUGUAGCGGUGAAAUGCUUAGAUAUCGUCAAGAACACCUAUAGCGAAGGCAGCUUACUAGGCUGUAACUGACGCUGAGGCACGAAAGUGUGGGGAUCAAACAGGAUUAGAUACCCUGGUAGUCCACACUGUAAACGUUGAUUACUCGCUGUGUGCGAUAUACAGUACGCGGCCAAGCGAAAGCGAUAAGUAAUCCACCUGGGGAGUACGCCGGCAACGGU
rnacentral:rRNA from 1 species